AUUGAACGCUGGCGGCAUGAUUUACACAUGCAAGUCGAACGGUAACAGGCCGCAAGGUGCUGACGAGUGGCGAACGGGUGAGUAAUGCAUCGGAACGUGCCCAGUCGUGGGGGAUAACUACUCGAAAGAGUAGCUAAUACCGCAUACGGUCUAUGGAUGAAAGCGGGGGACCGUAAGGCCUCGCGCGAUUGGAGCGGCCGAUGUCAGAUUAGGUAGUUGGUGGGGUAAAGGCUCACCAAGCCAACGAUCUGUAGCUGGUCUGAGAGGACGACCAGCCACACUGGGACUGAGACACGGCCCAGACUCCUACGGGAGGCAGCAGUGGGGAAUUUUGGACAAUGGGCGCAAGCCUGAUCCAGCAAUGCCGCGUGCAGGAAGAAGGCCUUCGGGUUGUAAACUGCUUUUGUACGGAACGAAACGGCUCUGGUUAAUACCCGGGGCUAAUGACGGUACCGUAAGAAUAAGCACCGGCUAACUACGUG
rnacentral:rRNA from 1 species